rnacentral:rRNA from 1 species
AUUGAACGCUGGCGGCAGGCCUAACACAUGCAAGUCGAACGGUAACAGGAAGAAGCUUGCUUCUUUGCUGACGAGUGGCGGACGGGUGAGUAAUGUCUGGGAAACUGCCUGAUGGAGGGGGAUAACUACUGGAAACGGUAGCUAAUACCGCAUAACGUCGCAAGACCAAAGAGGGGGACCUUCGGGCCUCUUGCCAUCGGAUGCGCCCAGAUGGGAUUAGCUAGUAGGUGGGGUAACGGCUCACCUAGGCGACGAUCCCUAGCUGGUCUGAGAGGAUGACCAGCCACACUGGAACUGAGACACGGUCCAGACUCCUACGGGGGGCAGCAGUGGGGAAUAUUGCACAAUGGGCGCAAGCCUGAUGCAGCCAUGCCGCGUGUAUGAAGAAGGCCUUCGGGUUGUAAAGUACUUUCAGCGGGGAGGAAGGGAGUAAAGUUAAUACCUUUGCUCAUUGACGUUACCCGCAGAAGAAGCACCGGCUAACUCCGUG